rnacentral:tRNA from 1 species
AGUAGUGUGGCCUAGUGGAUAAAGCCUGGGCCUGGGAACCAGAGGACCUGGCUUCUAAUCCCAGCUCUGCUA